CCUGAAGGUUUUUGUCCUAUUGCUUACUGGGACAGAGAAGAGGACCAGACACCCUUGUAAAAGAGGCGUGGAAUAAUUACACAUGACAAAGGUCUACUGAAUGCUGAAGUCACCAUUUUGAACUUAAAACCUCCUGGAACUCUGACACAUCUGUAUGGAGGGUGCUUGCUGCCCUGCACAUCUGCCAGAACCCAAGACUGAAAUUCAGCUUUGCAAUCUUAGAAAUGAAAAUUAUCCCAACUGCAUUCCAUCUCCGAUCAUUUCUCUUCCCCUUCUGGCUCUUCCACCCCAUCAGGCACAAACAAUAGAGUUUCUUGUACCCUGCAGUACCCACCUUGUUCCCAUUAGGAGCAUGACACUUGGCAGUCUUCCUGGAUGCCCAUGCUGGUCCAAAAUUGUCUCUGGGACACAUGCCUUCUUUUGUGGUCACUGGAGUGAGGGGGAUGUCCCUUGCAGAACAAAUACUACUCAGUAAAAUGAGCAGGAACAGAAGUCGUUCACUAGUGCCUGUUCCUACAAGUGGAUGCCUGUUGUAUAAACAAACAGUAAAUAUGCUAAAGCUGUCCAAGCCCAUGGAUUCUGGUGAUUGCCCCUCUUCACAUCCUUUUGCUACUGAAUGUCUUCUGCAGAGACAGAAAUGAGUUAGGGAAUUAGGCA